CCGAGUUUACAACUCCCAAACCCCUGUGAACAUACCUACUGUUGCCUCGGCGGAUCAGCCCGCUCCCGGUAAAAAGGGACGGCCCGCCCAGAGGACCCCUAAACUCUGUUUCUAUAGUGGAACUUCUGAGUAAAACAAACAAAUAAAUCAA
rnacentral:misc_RNA from 1 species